CAUCAACGCUCCAACCUCACCGCCUCUCCUUCUGGGGACGAAAGCAGCAACUCUCCUACUUCUCCUCCGAGCAGCAGCGGCGGUGGCAAAGGCAAUAAGUGUGGAGCUGGAGGGAAAGGACAAGGCAAGAAGUGAAGACAACAAGAAGCACUCGAAGAAGAAGCACUCGAUGAACUGAUUUGAUAUGUUAGUUUUAAUGUUUUAGGUUUAUCUUAACUCUAUCGUAAUCUCCGAUAUUUCCUCUACCCUUUAGUUUAAUAUUUUUAGGUUAAUAUUUAUGUCGUAUUUUGGUAUCCGAUGGUUUGUUUUAAAUGGC
rnacentral:lncRNA from 1 species